CCUAAGGUAGCGAAAUUCCUUGUCGGGUAAGUUCCGACCUGCACGAAUGGCGUAAUGAUGGCCAGGCUGUCUCCACCCGAGACUCAGUGAAAUUGAACUCGCUGUGAAGAUGCAGUGUACCCGCGGCAAGACGGAAAGACCCCGUGAACCUUUACUAUAGCUUGACACUGAACAUUGAGCCUUGAUGUGUAGGAUAGGUGGGAGGCUUAGAAGUGUGGACGCCAGUCUGCAUGGAGCCGACCUUGAAAUACCACCCUUUAAUGUUUGAUGUUCUAACGUUGACCCGUAAUCCGGGUUGCGGACAGUGUCUGGUGGGUAGUUUGACUGGGGCGGUCUCCUCCUAAAGAGUAACGGAGGAGCACGAAGGUUGGCUAAUCCUGGUCGGACAUCAGGAGGUUAGUGCAAUGGCAUAAGCCAGCUUGACUGCGAGCGUGACGGCGCGAGCAGGUGCGAAAGCAGGUCAUAGUGAUCCGGUGGUUCUGAAUGGAAGGGCCAUCGCUCAACGGAUAAAAGGUACUCCGGGGAUAACAGGCUGAUACCGCCCAAGAGUUCAUAUCGACGGCGGUGUUUGGCACCUCGAUGUCGGCUCAUCACAUCCUGGGGCUGAAGUAGGUCCCAAGGGUAUGGCUGUUCGCCAUUUAAAGUGGUACGCGAGCUGGGUUUAGAACGUCGUGAGACAGUUCGGUCCCUAUCUGCCGUGGGCGCUGGAGAACUGAGGGGGGCUGCUCCUAGUACGAGAGGACCGGAGUGGACGCAUCACUGGUGUUCGGGUUGUCAUGCCAAUGGCACUGCCCGGUAGCUAAAUGCGGAAGAGAUAAGUGCUGAAAGCAUCUAAGCACGAAACUUGCCCCGAGAUGAGUUCUCCCUGACUCCUUGAGAGUCCUGAAGGAACGUUGAAGACGACGACGUUGAUAGGCCGGGUGUGUAAGCGCAGCGAUGCGUUGAGCUAACCGGUACUAAUGAACCGUGAGGCUUAACCUU
rnacentral:rRNA from 1 species